AACGAACGCUGGCGGCAGGCCUAACACAUGCAAGUCGAACGCCGUAGCAAUACGGAGUGGCAGACGGGUGAGUAACACGUGGGAACGUACCCUUCGGUUCGGAAUAACUCAGGGAAACUUGAGCUAAUACCGGAUACGUCCGAGAGGAGAAAGAUUUAUCGCCGAGGGAUCGGCCCGCGUCUGAUUAGCUUGUUGGUGAGGUAACGGCUCACCAAGGCGACGAUCAGUAGCUGGUCGAGAGGAUGAUCAGCCACACUGGGACUGAGACACGGCCCAGACUCCUACGGGAGGCAGCAGGUGGGGAAUUUUGGACAAGUGGGGGCAACCCUGAUCCA
rnacentral:rRNA from 1 species